CUUGAGUACAGACUGCUACCACACUGGCUGGCUAGGUCGCUCUCUUUAUACCACUCAGCUGAGACUCUUUCCCAGCUUGCACAGCCAAUGGGCAUGUAAGCUGUUUCCAUAUACUGGCUUUUUUGAAUUGAGAAGCAAAGAAAGAGGAUGAGCAGAUAUCUCUGGCAUAGAGCACAGAGUUCUUUAGAUAUUGUGUGAUGCAUCGCUUCAAGUUUUCCUCCUCUAGACAUCCUCCUCUUGACUUCACAAUGAUGGACUGUAACCCAGAUUAAAUACCACAGAAUCAUUGGUUGAAAGAAGAGUCGCUUGAUCUAUUGGUACAAAGGAGAUAAUGAAUCACUAGUGCUUUAAAGCUAUGUAGAUAUGGAUAAGUUUAGGCCUCACUCCCCCUUAAAGAAACUUCUUUUUGCAACAAAUGGAGAACGUUACAGACAGCCAAUCAAAAACAAACUUCUGAUGGGUACAUCUAUAAAACAACCCAGCACCUAAGGUUCAAGAAACAAUGCAGAAUCAGUUCUUGAAACAGCUGCAAGAAUCAGAGCACCAACGAGUUUGCGGUGAGACUGUUUCAGAAGCUACACCCAUAGAGUCUCACCAAUAUUACUCCCUAAAUACGAGGUGAACAAGGACAAAAAAUAUACACGCCAAAGUGGUUGGGGGAGAUCCCAUGAGGCUUCAAAUCUACAUAAGCAACUACAGGAUACUAAGAAAAGCCAAGAGUGAGAGAAAUAAUCUUCUCAGGAGAGAGCACACCCAUCACAGCCCUUAAUGCAUAUUUAUGAGGAGCAUAAUAGAAAUGGAGUCAUAUUGAGGAAUGUACAAAACAAUUAGUGAAAAAAGAGACCAUGCAUUUGAACAAAAGCAAGGAAGGGUAUAUAUCAGGUUUGAAGAGCAUAAUAGGAAGGGAGAAAGCUGUAAUUUUAUUAUAAUAUCAAACAUAAAAGAAAAAUGUAAAGAAGGUGAUGUUCUAUAGGGAAGUAAAGCAUUUCAACCAUUGGGGAAGCUUACUUAGCUUAGGAAACAAACCCAAGUAAAGUUUUAGGAAGUCCUGAAAAUCCACAGCCAGAUGCUCUAAGCUCCAUCCUCUCCAGCAUAUAUGAACUGUAAAUACUUUUAAGUGACUUUCAAAUACCUGCGAGAAGCCAGCCUUCUCAGAAGAACCAGAGACCCAUCUUUCUAGAACAGACUCAGACAACCUGGGCUGUCUGUACAGGACACUGUCCAACCAGUUUAACUGUCUGUAGGUUGUGCAGUACGCUUCCUGUUUCCAGGUGGGCCCUCACACUUGCUGAGGUAGACUUUGUUUUUGCAUCAUUUCUGCUGCUGUAGGUAUCCUGUACUCCAUAUUCCUGCAAGUAACCCCAAUAAAACUUUUGGAAUCAAUAAGUUGGACUUUGGUGGUAUUUAUAAUCAGAACUAUUGUUGAUUCUUUCCUGGGAUGCAUAGAUGCUGUCCAUUGUUAUAUUUGCUGUCACAAAUCAUGGCAUGAAUUAAAAUUCCCUCAAGAUCAGCAGUGGAUAUAACCAUUUAUUUAUUUAUUUUAUAUGUUCAUAUAUAACAUAGACAAAAAUUUGAAACUACUGUUUUUAGCUUUAUG